AAUCAACGCUGGCGGCGUGCCUCAGACAUGCAAGUCGAACGCGAAAGUUCCCUUCGGGGGAUGAGUAGAGUGGCGCACGGGUGAGUAACACGUAGGUAAUCUACCUUUGGAUGGGGAAGUAACAACCGGAAACGGUUAGCUAAUACCGCAUAAUGCAGCGGCACCUAAUGGUGACAGUUGUUAAAGCGGGGGAGUCGAAAGACCUCGCGUCUGAAGAGGAGCCUGCGGCGGAUUAGCAGUUGGUAAGGUAACGGCUUACCAAGGCGACGAUCCGUAGCCGGCCUGAGAGGGGCGGUCGGCCACACUGACACUGACAUACGGGUCAGACUCCUACGGGAGGCAGC
rnacentral:rRNA from 1 species